rnacentral:rRNA from 1 species
CAGUCGCCGCGGUAAUACGUAGGGUGCGAGCGUUAAUCGGAAUUACUGGGCGUAAAGCGUGCGCAGGCGGUUCGUUAAGACAGAUGUGAAAUCCCCGGGCUUAACCUGGGAACUGCAUUUGUGACUGGCGAGCUAGAGUAUGGCAGAGGGGGGUAGAAUUCCACGUGUAGCAGUGAAAUGCGUAGAGAUGUGGAGGAAUACCGAUGGCGAAGGCAGCCCCCUGGGCCAAUACUGACGCUCAUGCACGAAAGCGUGGGGAGCAAACAGGAUUAGAGACCCCUGUAGUCCCUGUCUCUUAUAC